AACGUAGGAGACAAACGUUAUCCGGAGUUACUGGGCGUAAAGGGCGUGUAGGUGGUUUCGUAAGUCUGGCGUGAAAUAUCUCGGCUUAACCGAGGCAGGUCGUCGGAUACUGCGGGACUAGAGGACGGUAGAGGCGUGUGGAAUUCCGGGUGUAGUGGUGAAAUGCGUAGAGAUCCGGAGGAACACCAGUGGCGAAGGCAGCCCCCUGGGCUGACACUGACGCUCAGGCACGAAAGCGUGGGGAGCAAACAGG
rnacentral:rRNA from 1 species